rnacentral:ncRNA from 2 species
CGACCUGCGGCGGGAGAGUCCUGCCGGGUACAUUUAGCAGGCGCCGUAGGAGCAAACCCUCCCCAGGAAACUCUCAGGCCCAUGUACCGCCGCGGACAG